rnacentral:rRNA from 1 species
CCUACGGGCGGCAGCAGUGAGGAAUAUUGGUCAAUGGACGAGAGUCUGAACCAGCCAAGUAGCGUGAAGGAUGACUGCCCUAUGGGUUGUAAACUUCUUUUAUAUGGGAAUAAAAUGUUCCACGUGUGGGAUUUUGUAUGUACCAUAUGAAUAAGGAUCGGCUAACUCCGUGCCAGCAGCCGCGGUAAUACGGAGGAUCCGAGCGUUAUCCGAAUUUAUUGGGUUUAAAGGGAGCGUAGGUGGAUUGUUAAGUCAGUUGUGAAAGUUUGCGGCUCAACCGUAAAAUUGCAGUUGAAACUGGCAGUCUUGAGUACAGUAGAGGUGGGCGGAAUUCGUGGUGUAGCGGUGAAAUGCUUAGAUAUCACGAAGAACUCCGAUUGCGAAGGCAGUUCACUGGACUGCAACUGACACUGAGGCUCGAAAGUGUGGGUAUCAAACAGGAUUAGAUACCCGGGUAGUC